rnacentral:tRNA from 1 species
CCCUGUGUGGUGCAAACAUUUAACAUGCUUGGCUGCUAACCAAAAGGUUGGAGGUUCAAGUCCACCCAGAGGUG